ACACCCCGAAACUAGACGAGCUACUUUAAAACAGCCCACGGGGCAAACUCAUCCCUAUUGCAAAACGGUGAGAAGAUUUUAAAGUAGAGGUGACACACCUACCGAGCCUAGAGAUAGCUGGUUAUUCAAAAAACGGAUAUAAGUCCAACUUUAAGUUUUUUUUAGUCUACUAAACAAUUAUCAAACUUAAAAGCCAUUCAAAUAAGGUACAGCCUAUUUGAAUAAGGAAACAACCUACAAUAUAGGGUAAUAAUUAACAAGCAUGACCAAGUAGGCCUAAAAGCAGCCACCUCCAAAAGCGUCCAAGCUUCCUCAUAAACUAUAUUUUAUCCCACUAUUAACCCCCAACCCUUAAACCCCCACUGAAUGACCCCAUACCCAUAUGGAAGACAUCAUGCUAGAACUAGUAACAAGAAGACGAACUUCUCCAAAAUGCAAGCGUAGGCCAAAAUAAACUUCUUGCCGGCAUUUACCACUAUAACAGUACAUUUUCACAAGAAAACUCUACUAACACAAGCGCUAACCUAACACCAGA
rnacentral:rRNA from 1 species